CUUGAUGAUCCCUAUUCUUGUUUCUCAGCAAACAUUUGGUCUCUACCUUGUUACUAAGUCAUGAAGUGAUAUGAAUUCUAUUCGUCCACCAUUUGACCAGGACUGAGGCUUCAUAAAAUUUUGCUCUUCUAGAACUAGAUGGUCCCUCCCUGUUGCUGAAGAAAGCACACAUACUUGGGACACAGAACAUAGAGACUUCAAGAUGGAAUUGUUUGGGUAGCAUUCACUCUACUGACUAGCUUUCACAGUAUCAGAAAAUGCUAUACAGGCUCCUGAGGAAGAAAGGUCAGCAAGAGUCUUAUGAAACUAUGAAUCAAACUAUGUACUCUGAGCAACAAUAAUGACAGCCUGUCUAGCUAUGACUAUCAGUGCUAUAGCAGGAUAAUAUAUGAAGGUAAACAACUACUUUCUGAUUGUAUGUAAGGCUCACUCUACAAGAUGGAACUCAUGACCAAUGCUGCAAAUCUGUUCAAGAACUAUUGGCUGAAAAGCUCAUAAACCCUAGGGAAAUAUAUUACUAUUAUUUUCAUGAAGGUAUAUAGUACCAAAC
rnacentral:lncRNA from 1 species